GACGAACGCUGGCGGCGCGCUUAACACACGCAAGUCGAGCGAAAACCAGGGCUUCGGCUCUGGGGACAGCGGCGAACGGGUGAGUAACACGUGGAUAACCUGCCCUCGGCACCGGGAUAGCCCGGGGAAACUCGGAUUAAUACCGGAUAGCCCUUCCGACUCUCGAGUCGGUCCGAAAAGGUAGCUUCGGCCUCUGGCCGAGGAUGGGUCCGCGGCGGAUUAGCUUGUUGGUGGGGUAACGGCCUACCAAGGCUU
rnacentral:rRNA from 1 species